rnacentral:rRNA from 1 species
UACAGAGGUCUCAAGCGUUGUUCGGAUUCAUUGGGCGUAAAGGGUGCGUAGGCGGCGCGGUAAGUCGGGUGUGAAAUCAUUGGAGCUUAACUCCGAAACUUGCAUUCGAUACUGCCGUGCUUGAGGACUGGAGAGGAGACUGGAAUUUACGGUGUAGCGGUGAAAUGCGUAGAUAUCGUAAGGAAGACCAGUGGCGAAGGCGGUCUCUGGACAGUUCCUGACGCUGAGGCACGAAGGCCAGGGAGCAAACGGG